GACGAACCGUGCGAACGUUGUUCGGAAUUACUGGGCGUAAAGCGCACGUAGGCGGAUUUGUAAGUCAGGGGUGAAAUCCCGGGGCUCAACCUCGGAACUGCCUUUGAUACUGCAAAUCUCGAGUCCGGAAGAGGUGAGUGGAAUUCCUAGUGUAGAGGUGAAAUUCGUAGAUAUUAGGAAGAACACCAGUGGCGAAGGCGGCUCACUGGUCCGGUACUGACGCUGAGGUGCGAAAGCGUGGGGAGCAAACGGG
rnacentral:rRNA from 1 species